rnacentral:rRNA from 1 species
CCUACGGGCGGCAGCAGUGGGGAAUAUUGGACAAUGGGCGAAAGCCUGAUCCAGCCAUGCCGCGUGUGUGAAGAAGGCCUUCGGGUUGUAAAGCACUUUCAGUGGGGAAGAAAGCCUUGGGGCUAAUGCCCUCGAGGAAGGACAUCACCCACAGAAGAAGCACCGGCUAACUCCGUGCCAGCAGCCGCGGUAAUACGGAGGGUGCGAGCGUUAAUCGGAAUUACUGGGCGUAAAGCGCGCGUAGGCGGUCUGAUAAGCCGGUUGUGAAAGCCCCGGGCUCAACCUGGGAACGGCAUCCGGAACUGGCAGGCUAGAGUGCAGGAGAGGAAGGUAGAAUUCCCGGUGUAGCGGUGAAAUGCGUAGAGAUCGGGAGGAAUACCAGUGGCGAAGGCGGCCUUCUGGACUGACACUGACGCUGAGGUGCGAAAGCGUGGGUAGCAAACAGGAUUAGAUACCCUUGUAGUC